rnacentral:rRNA from 1 species
UAAUGUAUGGGGAUCUGCCCGAUAGAGGGGGGAGAAUACUGGAAACGGUGGCUAAUACCGCAUAAUGUCUACGGACCAAAGCAGGGGCUCUUCGGACCUUGCACUAUCGGAUGAACCCAUAUGGGAUUAGCUAGUAGGUGGGGUAAAGGCUCACCUAGGCGACGAUCUCUAGCUGGUCUGAGAGGAUGAUCAGCCACACUGGGACUGAGACACGGCCCAG